rnacentral:rRNA from 1 species
UAAAUACUCCUGACUGACCGAUAGUGAACCAGUACCGUGAGGGAAAGGCGAAAAGAACCCCGGCGAGGGGAGUGAAAAAGAACCUGAAACCGUGUACGUACAAGCAGUGGGAGCACGCUUAGGCGUGUGACUGCGUACCUUUUGUAUAAUGGGUCAGCGACUUAUAUUCUGUAGCAAGGUUAACCGAAUAGGGGAGCCGAAGGGAAACCGAGUCUUAACUGGGCGUUAAGUUGCAGGGUAUAGACCCGAAACCCGGUGAUCUAGCCAUGGGCAGGUUGAAGGUUGGGUAACACUAACUGGAGGACCGAACCGACUAAUGUUGAAAAAUUAGCGGAUGACUUGUGGCUGGGGGUGAAAGGCCAAUCAAACCGGGAGAUAGCUGGUUCUCCCCGAAAGCUAUUUAGGUAGCGCCUCGUGAAUUCAUCUCCGGGGGUAGAGCACUGUUUCGGCAAGGGGGUCAUCCCGACUUACCAACCCGAUGCAAACUGCGAAUACCGGAGAAUGUUAUCACGGGAGACACACGGCGGGUGCUAACGUCCGUCGUGAAGAGGGAAACAACCCAGACCGCCAGCUAAGGUCCCAAAGUCAUGGUUAAGUGGGAAACGAUGUGGGAAGGCCCAGACAGCCAGGAUGUUGGCUUAGAAGCAGCCAUCAUUUAAAGAAAGCGUAAUAGCUCACUGGUCGAGUCGGCCUGCGCGGAAGAUGUAACGGGGCUAAACCAUG